rnacentral:rRNA from 1 species
CCUACGGGAGGCUGCAGUGGGGGAUAUUGCACAAUGGGGGAAACCCUGAUGCAGCGACGCCGCGUGUGGGAAGACGGUCCUCUGGAUUGUAAACCACUGUCCCCAGGGACGAAGAUGACGAUACCUGGGGAGGAAGCUCCGGCUAACUACGUGCCAGCAGCCGCGGUAAUACGUAGGGAGCGGGCGUUGUCCGGAAUUACUGGGUGUAAAGGGCGUGUAGGCGGGAAAGCAAGUCAGAUGUGAAAACCAUGGGCUCAACCUGUGGCCUGCAUUUGAAACUGUUUGUCUUGAGUACUGGAGAGGCAGACGGAAUUCGUAGUGUAGCGGUGAAAUGCGUAGAUAUUAGGAGGAACACCAGUGGCGAAGGCGGUCUGCUGGACAGCAACUGACGCUGAGGCGCGAAAGCGUGGGGAGCAAACAGGAUUAGAUACCCCAGUAGUC